GACGAACGCUGGCGGCGUGCUUAACACAUGCAAGUCGAACGGAAAGGCCCUGCUUUUGUGGGGUGCUCGAGUGGCGAACGGGUGAGUAACACGUGAGUAACCUGCCCUUGACUUUGGGAUAACUUCAGGAAACUGGGGCUAAUACCGGAUAGGAGCUCCUGCUGCAUGGUGGGGGUUGGAAAGUUUCGGCGGUUGGGGAUGGACUCGCGGCUUAUCAGCUUGUUGGUGGGGUAGUGGCUUACCAAGGCUUUGACGGGUAGCCGGCCUGAGAGGGUGACCGGCCACAUUGGGACUGAGUUACGGCCCAGACUCCUACGGGAGGCAGCAGGGGGGAAUAUUGCACGAUGGGCGGAAGCCUGAUGCAGCAACGCCGCGUGCGGGAUGACGGCCUUCGGGUUGUAUACCGCUUUCGCCUGUGACGAAGCGUGAGUGACGGUAAUGGGUAAAGAAGCACCGGCUAACUACGUG
rnacentral:rRNA from 1 species